GUGGGGAAUCUUGCGCAAUGGGCGAAAGCCUGACGCAGCCAUGCCGCGUGAAUGAUGAAGGUCUUAGGAUUGUAAAAUUCUUUCACCGGGGAAGAUAAUGACGGUACCCGGAGAAGAAGCCCCGGCUAACUUCGUGCCAGCAGCCGCGGUAAUACGAAGGGGGCUAGCGUUGCUCGGAAUUACUGGGCGUAAAGGGCGCGUAGGCGGACAUUUAAGUCAGAGGUGAAAGCCCAGGGCUCAAGCUUGGAAUUGCCUUUGAUACUGGAUGUCUGGAGUGCGGGAGAGGUGAGUGGAAUGCCGAGUGUAGAGGUGACAUUAGUAUAUAUUCGGUGGAACACCGGUGGCGAAGGCGACUCACUGGCCCGAUACUGACGCUGAGGCGCGAAAGCGUGGGGAGCAAACAGGAUUAGAAACCCUGGUAGUCC
rnacentral:rRNA from 1 species